rnacentral:rRNA from 1 species
AACUCACCAGGUCAGGACACGGUAAGGAUUGACGGACUGAAGGCUCUUUCUCGAUUCCGUGGAAAGUGGUGCAUGGCCGUUUUGGUUGGUGGAUCGAUCCGUCUGGUUAAUUCCGUUAACGAACGAGACCUCGGCACUCCGAAUAGCGCGGCGGACGUCGCGGCCUCCGGGCCGUCUUCCGCACGAGCUUCUUAGAGGGACCGUCCCCCGCCGGGGAAGGAGGUGCGAGGCAACGACAGGUCUGUGAUGCCCCUUAGAUGUUCUGGGCCGCACGCGCAUUACACUGACGCGUCCAACGGGUGACUCCCGACCCGAAGGGGCCGGGGAAUCCGCAAGGCGCGUCGUGAUGGGGAUUGAACGUUGCAAUUGUUGUUCACGAACGAGGAAUUCCUAGUAGGCGCGGGUCAUCAACCCGCGCCGAUUACGUCCCUGCC